rnacentral:rRNA from 1 species
GACGAAGGGGGCUAGCGUUGUUCGGAAUCACUGGGCGUAAAGCGUGUGUAGGUGGUUGUCGUAGUCAGGCGUGAAAGCCUUGAGCUCAACUCAAGAAAUGCGCUUGAUACUGGGCAGCUAGAGGACCGGAGAGGAUAGUGGAAUUCCCAGUGUAGUGGUGAAAUACGUAGAGAUUGGGAAGAACACCAGUGGCGAAGGCGGCUAUCUGGACGGUUUCUGACACUAAGACACGAAAGCGUGGGGAGCAAACAGG